rnacentral:rRNA from 1 species
GGGCCCGCACAAGCGGUGGAGCAUGUGGUUUAAUUCGAUGCAACGCGAAGAACCUUACCUACUCUUGACAUCCAGAGAAGCCAGCGGAGACGCAGGUGUGCCUUCGGGAACUCUGAGACAGGUGCUGCAUGGCUGUCGUCAGCUCGUGUUGUGAAAUGUUGGUUAAGUCCCGCAACGAGCGCAACCCUUAUCCUUGUUUGCCAGCGAGUAAUGUCGGGAACUCCAGGGAGACUGCCGGUGAUAAACCGGAGGAAGGUGGGGACGACGUCAAGUCAUCAUGGCCCUUACGGCCUGGGCUACACACGUGCUACAAUGGCUAGGACAGACGGCCGCAAACCCGCGAGGGGGAG